rnacentral:rRNA from 1 species
AAACCGGAGCUAAUACCGGAUAAUAUAUUGAACCGCAUGGUUCAAUAGUGAAAGACGGUUUUGCUGUCACUUAUAGAUGGAUCCGCGUCGCAUUAGCUAGUUGGUAAGGUAACGGCUUACCAAGGCAACGAUGCGUAGCCGACCUGAGAGGGUGAUCGGCCACACUGGAACUGAGACACGGUCCAG